rnacentral:lncRNA from 1 species
CGGCCAAGCUCAGGCUCGCGGCCAUGUACGAUGAGAAAGGCGAGCUAACGCAUCGACGACCGGGCGCCCCCUAACGACGUCUACAUCAGACAAGUCAAAUGACAAGAAAGGUUCGACGGACAGCAAUUUAGUACAAUGCGCGGACGAGGUAACACAAAAUACUUUUUUUUCCAUUUCCGAUAUACACACUACAAAGCUCGGAAGGCCAAGGAAAGAAAGGCAAAACGAUAAAAAGGAAGUA